UAAUUUAAGGUCUAGCCUGCCCACUGAAAUUUUAAAUGGCCGUGGUAUUUUGACCGUGCUAAGGUAGCAUAAUCAUUAGUUUUUUAAUUAAAAACUGGAAUGAAAGGUUGGAUGAGAAAAUAGCUGUCUCUAUUAAAUUUAAUUAGAAUUUUAUUUUUAAGUUAAAAAGCUUAAUUAUUAUUAAAAGACGAGAAGACCCUAUAGAGUUUAAUUAUUUAGUAAAAAUUAUAUUUUAGUAUUAAUUUAUUUAUUUUAUUAAAUAAUUUAAUUGGGGUGAUUGAAAAAUUUAAUUAACUUUUUUUAUUUAAGAACAUUAAUUUAUGAAUAAAUGAUCCAAUAUUUUUGAUUAUAAGAUAAAAUUACCUUAGGGAUAACAGCGUAAUUUUUUUAGAAAGUUCAUAUUAAAAAAAAAGAUUGCGACCUCGAUGUUGGAUUAAAAUAAAUUUUUGGUGUAGAAGCUAAAAUAUUAGGUCUGUUCGACCUUUAAAAUUUUA
rnacentral:rRNA from 2 species